AGACCUACAAGUCGAGCAGGGACGAAAGUCGGGCUUAGUGAUCCGGUGGUUCCGCAUGGAAGGGCCAUCGCUCAACGGAUAAAAGCUACCCCGGGGAUAACAGGCUUAUCUCCCCCAAGAGUCCACAUCGACGGGGAGGUUUGGCACCUCGAUGUCGGCUCAUCGCAUCCUGGGGCUGUAGUCGGUCCCAAGGGUUGGGCUGUUCGCCCAUUAAAGCGGUACGCGAGCUGGGUUCAGAACGUCGUGAGACAGUUCGGUCCCUAUCCGUCGCGGGCGCAGGAAAUUUGAGAGGAGCUGUCCUUAGUACGAGAGGACCGGGAUGGACGCACCGCUGGUGUACCAGUUGUUCUGCCAAGGGCAUCGCUGGGUAGCUAUGUGCGGACGGGAUAAGUGCUGAAAGCAUCUAAGCAUGAAGCCCCCCUCAAGAUGAGAUUUCCCAUUCCGCAAGGAAGUAAGAUCCCUGAAAGAUGAUCAGGUUGAUAGGUCUGAGGUGGAAGUGUGGCGACACAUGGAGCUGACAGAUACUAAUCGAUCGAGGACUUAACCAA
rnacentral:rRNA from 1 species